GCAGUAAACCCACCUCUCCCUCCUGGCACCACCAGCUGACUGAAUGCAAUAAGGACACGUGAGGCAGGUGGUGCAUUUAAAGCAGUCUUUGUGAAAGCAGAGCCCUUCCCUGACAAAGAUGUGGUAAGAACAGAAUUGUAGUGAGUGUCUACCACCAUGGUAGUGGUGGAUCCCUGAGUGCAUCCCUCCAGCUAAGCAGAACUCACCUGCACGACCCCUCUGCAUUGGGAGCAA
rnacentral:lncRNA from 1 species